AUUCUCUUUCUGUGGUGGAUCCAAGUGGAGGAAGAAGCGAAUGCACAGACUGAAGUGUAAAAGAAGAAGGAUGAGACAGAGGUCCAAGUAAAAUAGCUCGUACACCCAUGG